rnacentral:misc_RNA from 1 species
CGAAAACUUUCUAGGGUUUUAAUUGAAAAACAUCUGUGUAGGUUGGGGAUUUCGUUGUAAUUUUUCCUCCUAUUUAUCACACUUUCCCUCUCUUUCUUCCCUCCCUUCCAAGUGACAAUAUCAGAGAAGACUAGAAGAGCAGUUAACAGUUUCUUUGCCUUUAGCAUUCCCCAAGGGGGAGAAGAUUAAUUCCGCUGUAUUCUCAGUUUACAGAGAAAGACACACGCAUAGCUCUAUCACUAUCAGCUUGGCCUUGCCAAAAUGGGGCCGGAAUCUGGACUCCUCAGUCCCUCUAAUCCCUCUACUAAGGUUCUCACAUAGGCCCUUGGUAUCCCCUUGUUCUGUAAUGUGCUUACACUAUGAAAACUAGAGUAUGAAUGCCUCUAUUGUGAGGAAAUAGAUACAAAAGAAAUUCAAAAUUAGAGGUUAUACACUUAAAAUUGAUGCUCUUGAAGAGAUCCUCUCCUUUGUUAACCGCUUCGAAGGUGCUGAAGAUGAGGCCAUUGAUCUCCUCCUAGACCACCUUCAGUAUGAAUCACAGAAAGUGGGAGUGAAAUCUUCCAUAAUUGACAAGGAGCCAAUACAUCAUGUUAUAACCAGUUUAUUUGAAGCUGAGGAUGCAGUGGAGCACCCCAAACGAGACAGUUUCUACUAGUUCCGCAAUUCCCGUGAUUGAUGCUAUUUUAGUCCCCAAAUUUCACUUUGUUCCCAUCAAGAAGCAGUUUUAUCAGUAUGUCCAUUUUUUUUUCCUUCUCAAAUAUAUAUUGUCUUGUCUAAGAAAACUUGUUAUCGUUUUUUAUAGAAAGUGUAUGCAUAAAAUGUUUAGAUAAUUCUCUGUUUUCUAUCAUGUGGGAUCUAUAUAACAGUUUCAUUUAGUGGUGGUUCCCAAAAUAGUGAGGUAAUAAUCCUUGUAUGGUUUCCUAGAAAAUUUAUGAAGAAGGAAAGUUGCUAUUAAGAUGCCAUUAUUAAUGUUACUGAACUGACUAUCUGCCCUCUUAUGGGCCAAUAUUAUAAUUAGUGAUGGGGAAGUUGAACAUAAUUUUGCUGUUAGCAUUUUUUUUUUGUUUUAUGUUUUAUCUGCAGUUCAAUUGAAAUUGGAAUGGCUUUUCUGCUAUAUUGGUGACCUAGGGUCGCUGUUUCUAGGAUGCUUAUAUUGAAAUGCUGGAAAAAAAACUCAAAUAUGGCUGAUUUUGUGUGGCUGAACUCUGCAAUUAUUUGCUCAAUUUUAGAUCUGAUUGCUAUGAUAGGUAAACAAAACUAAACAUUCUAUGCUUCACAUUGAGAAUUUCAUAGAUAUUUUUAUUUUUAAGAAAAUUAAAAUCAUGACUAAGAAUAUUUUUAAAAUAAAAAAAAUGAUAAAAAUUAAAAAAUUAUCUUUAAAGGGAAUUUCACUUUUAUUCUUUUUACCUUUAUCGAUGAAAUUAAAAUUAAAGAACUUAUUUGAGACUAAUUUUUUUCCAAGCAUUUUCAAACAAUUUCAAUUUUUUUAGUGGCUCUUUAAUCCACAUCGACUUGAUCCAGUAAAGUUUUAUCACUUUGCACAUCAAGAACAAUUUAAAAUUUGUUUCAAAUAAAUUUUUGUACACUUAUUUGAUUUAAUUUCAAUGAAUUUUUUAUUAUUAAAAUUAAUCUUACUUGAAUUAUGGACUAACAUGUUAAUAAAAGAGAAAAUUACAUGUUUCGGAAAAAUAUAUAGACCUUGCUUAGUUAAAAAAUUUUCUUAGUACUAGUUCUACUAUUUUGGCACCAUUAAGGCCACUUGUUGAGUACUGUGAUUAUUGUAGAAUAAUUUACAUUUUCCACCCAACACAUUUGAAAAGUUUUCCUAGUAAAUUUUCUAUGCAUAUUUAUUUAAAUUGCAUAGCCUUAAAGUUCACAAUAGGGAAGUUUCCUGGAACCUUGCUACUGACACCAGCCAAUAAAUAAUCCAAAUUUUCUGAAUUAUGGAGCUAUCAAUUCUAAUUAAAGAGUAAUGGUGAUUUAUCUAUUUAUUAAUUGGCUUUUUACUUUUAUGUUUUAAUGGAUUAAUUUUUAUGACCAAUUCAUGAGGAUAUAUAUAUUGAGAUUAGAAAAAAAAAAAAAAGAAUCUAUAUAUGUAUACUCCAAGGGCUAGCUCCAUGAAGAACAUUUUUUUUCUAUUAACUUAAAAUAUUAAUUAUGAGAUGAUUAAGUGCUUUCUCUUCAUGACUCAAUGAAAUGAUAGUUGACCAUUUGGGAACUAAAUGGUAUUAUUGCUUCUCUGUUUUUCUUACGCUAUAUAUCUGUCAGACGUUUUCAUCAUCGUGCUUAUUUUCUUUGUUUUUCCUAAUCUGAUACUAAUAACCUCAUAGAAAUGCGCCUGGUUGUAUGCCUUGGUUGAUGAAUGUAGUUGCUGGUUGAGAGCUUAAUGUCUUAUGAGAAUAUCUGUUUUUCCCAUUCGAAAAUAUAUAGGUUGUCACCAUUGCCAGUAAUAGAGGUUGUGUAGGUAAAUUAGACUAAUGCGCCUUAAAUUGACUUUAGAAGAAUCUACAAGAAAAGAUCAUGCUUCAUAAAUGAUGAUUUGGUCAUUGUCACUCCCUACAAAUUGCCUCCUUGGUUAUGUAUGAAGGAUGAGUAUAUGUUCCUAACGGUAAUAGUUCUUGGUCUGGGAAACCCGAAGGAGUAGCCCCUUAUUGCAGAGUUGAAACAGUUGUGGGAAGUUAGAGUUGAGACAUAAGAUGCAUUUAAGAAGAACAAUUUUACAGCCCCAACUCCAGAUGCGACUCAUCAGGAUGAUGGUGGAGAGGCCGAUGGUGUUGAUGAGUGAUGAUAUUGUUGAUGACAAGUAGCUUGUUUUUUUGUUAUUAUGAUAUUUUAUUUUUUCAUACAGUACAUUAUUCUCAAAACAAUUCACUGUCAUAUCUAUAUAUAAUAUUGAUUGAUAUUUAAUAUUUGAUACCCUUAUAUCAUAAAUAUUGUGAUAUUGAGCACUAUUAUAUGCUUCAAUAUAGGAAAUAAUAUAUUAAAAAAAUUUACAGUAAUUUGAAACAGAUUGCAUUUGGUUUUGAAAUAGAAAGGAUUUCUUUUUUAAUUUUAUUAUGUUUAGAAACGGAUUUGAAAUGGAAAAUCGAAUGCAUUUCGAUUUUAAAAAGUGUUUUAUUUUUGUUCCGAUUAUAAACUGAUUUGAAACGGAAACCCGUUUCAGAUUAUUAGAAACUGAUAUAUUUUGGUUACUAACUUGAAACAAAUUUAGAAACCGAAGUUGUUCAGUAUCUAAUUUUGGAACGAAAAUAUCAA